rnacentral:rRNA from 1 species
AACGAACGCUGGCGGCAGGCUCAACACAUGCAAGUCGAACGCAUCGCAAGAUGAGUGGCAGACGGGUGAGUAACGCGUGGGAAUCUACCCAGUUCUACGGAACAACAGUUGGAAACGACUGCUAAUACCGUAUACGCCCUAAGGGGGAAAGAUUUAUCGGAAUUGGAUGAGCCCGCGUAAGAUUAGCUAGUUGGUGGGGUAAUGGCCUACCAAGGCGACGAUCUUUAGCUGGUCUGAGAGGAUGAUCAGCCACACUGGGACUGAGACACGGCCCAGACUCCUACGGGAGGCAGCAGUGGGGAAUAUUGGACAAUGGGCGCAAGCCUGAUCCAGCCAUGCCGCGUGAGUGAUGAAGGCCUUAGGGUUGUAAAGCUCUUUCACCGAUGAAGAUAAUGACGGUAGUCGGAGAAGAAGCCCCGGCUAACUUCGUGCCAGCAGCCGCCGUAACAC